rnacentral:rRNA from 1 species
AUACGGAGGAUGCAAGCGUUAUCCGGAUUUAUUGGGUUUAAAGGGUGCGUAGGCGGUUUGCUAAGCGGGAGGUGAAAUGCCGGCGCUCAACGUCGGAAGUGCCUCCCGAACUGGUGGACUGGAAUGACUCUGCCGUGGGAGGAAUGUGUAGUGUAGCGGUGAAAUGCUUAGAGAUUACACAGAACACCGAUUGCGAAGGCAUCUCACGAAGGGUUGAUUGACGCUGAGGCACGAAAGCGUGGGGAUCAAACAGGAUUAGAUACCCUGGUAGGCCACGCAGUAAACGAUGAUGGCUAACCGCUGGUUUAUUCGGAUCAGUGGCCAAGCAAAAGCGAUAAGCCAUCCACCUGGGGAGUACGACCGCAAGGUUGAAACUCAAAGGAAUUGACGGGG